UCAUCCAGAAUAAGCAAAAGUAAAGAACCUGGGAAUUUAGAAACAGGUCAGAAUCUAUUUGAAGAGUGACACAGAAUUGAGGUUGAGACCAAAAAAAUGUGUGCUCUAAAUCAUGUUUUUGCAGAAACUAAGUGGAAGUUUCCAGUGUGGAUGUCAUUUUGGUUGGGAACACACAUUUCCUUAGGAAAAGCAGGAGGCUGUGAUGGAAGAAACUAAGGAUCUUGAAAUUGGAUAGACCUAUUACCACCUUCCCUAACUUCAAGACUUCAAGGAGAAGGAAGAAGGAGAUUUGAGACCCAGAGAAACAGAGGAAGAGGCCAUGAGAACAUGGAGGCAGAGACUGGAGGGCAAUCAUGAACUAAAAACCACCAAGGAUUGCAGAAGUCACCAGAGGCUGGGAAAGAGGCACAGCAUGGAUUCUUCCACAGAGCCUCCACAUGGAACCAGUACUGCCAAAACCUUGAUUUCAAAUAUCUGGCCUUAAAAACUGUGAAUAAAUAAUUUCCUAUUAAGUCACUCGGUUUGUGGCUAUUAGUCAUGGCAGCCCUAGAACACUAAUAUGCUGUCUAACAGAAAAUGUGUGGCUCCCUGUCCUAGACCAAUAUGUCGGAUACAUAAUUUGUGUGAUAUUUGAGCUCAAGAGAAGACCACCACCUUGGGAAGUAGCAGAGAGCCAUUCCCCCUUCCUAUAUUUCUGUCCCAUUCUCCCUUCCUAUAUUUCUGUCUCUGGUCAUACAAUUGGGCUUUCUGGCACACUGCUGUCUGUGCUAGAGGGUGUGAGGCAGAACAUUCCUGUUCAUGUGACUGUUCAGGUGGCUCUUUUGCAAGUCCAAUUAUUCCUAUAGGUGGCUUUAUUGAGUGUUGAAGUAUCCAAUAAAGACACUGCUUUUUUCUUAUGAGAUUGUAUUUAAAUUUUUAAAAAUUUAAUUAUAAGAUAGCCAUCAAAUAUAAUAAGGUCUUUAUUCCUGAGGAAGUCUAAAUGGGAGAAUGUAGAAUAUGGUUACUGUAGAGAAAAAUGGGCUAGCCGACUGACAUCCCAAGCUAAGCAGAUGUGCACACACAGUUCCAGGGUCAGUAAGACUUCCUCCUCCUCAGGUACAGCAAAUGGAGAAACAGAAAGCUGCUCCCUAUAAGCACUUCCUGGAGCAAAAUGGGGAGUUGAAACCAGCAUGCCCACUUUAAUCUCUCUAAAAAUGCCAAUUAGAAUAAGCUAUACCUCCUCCCCUGGAGCAGAGCAAGAGAAAGGGUGGUAGAUGCCAGAUGGGUCUCACCAAUGAAGUUGCCUCACCAAGGAAGGAAGAAGAAUAUCCUGUUAUAAAGUCACAAGCCUACAUUUGAGAGGGAAAACCCACAGAAGAGCUUGGUGACCUUUCCCAAGACAGCUUUAGCAGUAAUUAUGACAAUUAAAGUAUGCUAAAGUGCUGUGUGAAUGAAUUAUCCAAUUAAAAGUCAGUCAUUCUUUCCUCAGCGUCCUAAUAACUUUUUGUCUAUAUUUUAUCAUAGAAUUUUGCAAACGGUACUGGAUAUAUUGGUUUACGUGUCUGAUUUCUCCACUAGACUAUGAGAACAAGAACACUUACGUAUGUUAUUGAUUUCUAUAUUCUUAAAUACAUUGCAUGAUUUUGCAGUUCUUUCCUUCAUUUAAACCUUAUCUCUCUCACUGAAUUAUUAGCUCUACACAACUUGCUGCACAUCGCCUGAAACAACCAGAGCAGUAAUCAAUAAGGGCUGAUUGACAUCUUGUUUCCUGCUUGCUUCUUCACUUUUACAUAGGGUUUCUGCUUAGAUUCUGGUUCACAUUUUCCUUGUAUUUUGCAGCUCACUGAUAUGAAAGUGGAAGCAGACUCUUGGAAAUUAAAGACCCAUGUGAGCAUAAAUGCUUGAAACCUUUAAUUUAAAUCAUAA
rnacentral:lncRNA from 1 species